AUGGAGUGUAUGGUUGGUGUUGAUUACAGAAGAAUCCCCCAAAUCCAGAGGCGUGUUUUAACGUGUAUCCAAACGGAACUUGAAGGUGCAUAUGGAGUAGACCUGAUACAUGUGAGGCAAUUAUUUGAAGAAUGUAGCAGGUUGGUUCUUUUAGGGCAUAAUGGAGAGAAUGAUUUAGAAGAUUCGGACACGUUGGUGUAA
rnacentral:lncRNA from 1 species